CUCUGGUGUUGACCAGUCGGGGACUAGAGAUAAAAUUACGAAUGAAAAGAGCGAACAAGUUGCGUUCUCAUUGUAGACCAGGCAAUGUGGUGUGUCUGACCACUACUUGGUCUCCUGGACUGGCCUCUCUAUCCCUAGGACUGGUCCCCAGCAUUACAACCUGUACAAGGUCAUAGAGCCAUCUGGCAAAAAACUGAGGACCUCAGUCCAACAGCCAGCAAGAAACUGAAUCCUGCCAAAAACCACGUGACUGAACUUGGACAUGGAUCCUGUCCCGGCUGAGCCUUGAGAUAAAACUGCAGCCCCAGCUGACGCUUUGAUGGCAGCCUGUGAGAGACACCGAGUGUACACCUUGAUGGAAAUCCUAUGGGAGAUUGUGAAGUAGAUGACUCGGUUAGGCCAUGCUAUUCCUGACCCGUAGAAAUGGUGAGAUCAUAAAUGUGUGUUGCUUAAGCUAAGUUUUAUUUUUUUAAAAUUGAAAUUCAAGAUUAAAAGCAAUAAACAAU